UGAGCAUGGCACUUGAAGUGUCCCCUGAUGAUGAUACAAUUGCAGAGCUUUUACGGUAUGAUCUUGCUCCCUUCUACAUACCUGCAUCUAUUUUAGAAACAGAACUAUUUAUUGAUCUACUUAUUAUAUAUAUGACAUAUCUGCUGUUGUAAUUGAUGGGUCUCUAAUUAUUAUUUAGGAUUGAUUUUUCAUCAAAUUAAUGUAAUCAAUUGAUUGUAUGCUAAAUUAAGUAUAUCUGUGAGGUGUUUACCAUUCUGCUUUUUCUGAUAGAAUCUUGUGUAACCUAUAAUAAAGGAAUUGAUAUAUUGGAAGUAAGCUGAUAUGAAGUGCUUAUUUCAGGGAUGCCAAGGAAAAAUUGGCAAUGGAUGGUGGUGAGCAUGCACCUGGAAGUAUGUGUUCCCCUCAUUUAUUUUCUACUUUGCCUAAUCCUCAUGAGCUUUAUGCUUAUAAAUAGAUGCCAGGUUUAAGUUAACCUUGUUGGCGUCAUGCAUGUAGGACUAGUAAUUGAAGAAAUAACUGAAGAUGUGCCUUCUGGAAGCUCUUCUUUGGAACAAACAGUGGUUCAACCAAAAAAAUCUGGUGACUCCUCUAAGAGUUACAGUACAGCUAACAAUGGAAAUCCAAAAACAAAUGCAGACAGUUUAGAUGCAUUGAAAAAAGAUCCUGAAGCUGUCAGGUAGUUAGCAUUUUUAUAAAGUUUCUAAGCAUUUUAUGUUUAUUUAUAAUUUAAUGAUUGGCCUACAAAAGAUUUAUGGUUCUUUUUUUUUCUUCUUUUUUUAGAUCAUUCCAAAACUUUAUUUCAAAUACCGAUCCUGACAUGCUGGCUUCUUUGAAUGCUGGACAAUUCAAAGACGUGUCUCCAGAUAUGAUUAAAACUACCUCUGAUAUGGUUAGUAAAAUGUCACCUGAGGAACUUCAAAGAAUGCUUGACAUGGCUUCUUCAUUUCAAGGGGACAACCCAUUUUUUAGAGGAGGUUCCCCUGAUUCUUCUUUCAACCCUGGAUCAAUGCCUCCAAACGUGACACCUGAUAUGUUUAAAGCAGCAAGUGAUAUGAUAAGUAAAAUGCCAGCAGACGAACUUAAGAGGAUGUUUGAAAUGGCAUCCUCACUGAAAGGGAAAGAAUCUACUCCAUUAGCAGCAGCAGUAGAUGAGAAUGAAAGAAAUGUUUCGCGGUCAAACUUACCAUCAUCAAGUACUAAUGGAACUACUGCUUUUGGAGAAUCAAGUUCUCAUAACGUGUUUUCAAAUAUGAGAAAUGCUUCUCAGUCAAACUUCCCUUCC
rnacentral:lncRNA from 1 species